AGAGCACUGGCCCCGGAGACCUGCAGCUGCCAGCUAGGGGUGCCUGAAAGACCCUUGCAGGACUCCCUGAGGGGCACCCAUGGGUGUCCCAGGAUGAAGGAGACCCAGCAAAGGAGGCGACAUUCCUGGUGUCGGCUGCAGCAUCGGGCAAUUUCCAGGAUCCUCCUGCCUCGGCUUCCCGAGUGUUGGAAUGACAGGCGCCCACCACCCUGCCUGGCCUCAACCUUACCUGAGUCCUUGACCAGAGUCUUCUUAGGUUCUGGACUCAUCACCAUAAGCAGUGAUUCUGACUGUGGUUGUCACUGAAAGUGAAAGGUUUCCGAGUGUCACACCCCUGUCACUGUGUCUAGACCCAAGGACAUGAAGAGCAUUGGGAACCCCUGGCUUGGAAGGGGGAAGUGGUGGGACCAGUGCUCCCUAGGGUGGGCGUGUGGCAGCACGCGGUGACCCCAUGAGUGAAAGCUGGGGCUGAGAGCCUCCCUGCCCACUCCAGAGGACACGAGGCUGCCCAGCUCACAUGCUGAAGCCUGGAGGCAGUGGGGGUGGGAGGCCAGGUCCUGGGCUGGGGGCCGCGGGAAGGGCUUAGUCCCUUAGGGAAGGACCCAGAGCUGGUGUGGUGUGCACGCCUGUGAUCCCAGCACUCUGGGAAGCUGAGACAGGAAGAUCGAAAGUCCAGCCUGGGCAAUUAGUGAGUUAGUGAGAUCCUGUUUCAAAAUAAAGGACUGGGGUUCAGUGUGAAGGCCCAGAGUUCAAUUUCUAGAACCUCAAAAACAAGCACGCAAGCAAGCGAACAAAUGAGCCAGAGGGCUUGCUCUCUUGCCCUCCUUCCACAAGUGAGGGCCCAGCGAAGGCAGCCUCCUGUAGCCGGGAGGAGGCUGCACCCUGCAGCUCCUCCCGCCCCGCCCCCCAGCUAUAACCCAGUGUGUGCUGCUCAGACUGCCCGCCCUGUGGGCCUUCGUUAGGUGGCCCACGUCGGGCAGGAGACUCCCGGGCACCAGACACUGCUCCUGAGCAUGUCUUGUCCUGUCUGCCAUGGGCUUUACCCAAGCACUGCUUUUCCCCCACUGAACAGUCAAGUUUUUCUCUCAAGAUCAACCUAAGCAGUGACCAGGGCUGGAGUCUUAACCGUGCCCCAUGUCCCCAAGCCAGGGACACAGCCUCUGAGUGCCUCAGCCUCCACUCCGCGAACCAUGGACGGUCUCGGAGCCUCAAGGUGGCUGUGCGGAGGCCGAGCGGGUGGAGAACUCAUCGCGGUGCCAGGUGCAGUGAGCUGCUGUGCGCUGAGCCUCAAUGGUCUGGUGAUGCUGUGGUGCUCCAGGACCAGAGUACAGCAGCUGAAGACAUCCUGGGAGGAACAGAAUCUUCAUCUACUCAGUUCCUCAUUGUUCUUGGAUUGGUGCCUGACUUGGAUGUGAAUUGGAUCCAGGGGUGAACUUGCCUGUGAGACAAACUUGGAGUAAGAGAGACAGCACAUGGGUUUCCCAGGACGAUUUUCGACCCGGAUGAGGCACAGUGGUGGGAUGGAAUUCAGGAUUUUUCGCUUGUGAGGCAGGC
ensembl:lncRNA